UACGGAGGGUGCAAGCGUUAUCCGGAAUUACUGGGUUUAAAGGGUGCGUAGGCGGCUUGAUAAGUCAGAGGUGAAAGCCUAUCGCUUAACGAUAGAAUUGCCUUUGAUACUGUAAAGCUUGAAAGGGGUUGAGGUCAGCAGAAUGUGGCAUGUAGCGGUGAAAUGCAUAGAGAUGCCAGAGAACACCGAUUGCGAAGGCAGCUGGCUGGGCCUACUUUGACGAUGAGGCACGAAAGAGUGGGGAGCGAACAGG
rnacentral:rRNA from 1 species